rnacentral:tRNA from 1 species
GUGACUGUAGCUCAGCGGUAGAGCGCCUCCCUGUGGAGGAGGAUGCCGUGGGUUCAAAUCCCACCAGUCACC